AUGGAGAUGGGAGAGCUAGUUGUUGUUGCCGGAAUUGAAGAAAGUGGUGGUUGGAAUUGGUGGAAGGUUUCAAAACAGCUAGUGCGGUGAAAGCGGAGCCGGUUUCUAACUGCAAAUGCUCUGUUUAUAACUGAUCAACGAGUUUAAUUCAUGUAGAGAGAAAGGCACGUACCCUAUGAUAUAAAUGGCUAAGGCAGUGAUGAUGUAUCUAGUCAUCAAUGAU
rnacentral:lncRNA from 1 species